GCCACUUAGAAACAACCAUUCGCAUAAACCACCACAUCCACCUUUUCAUAUUUUACAAAUCCAUUCCAACGCAAUAGCAACCCUUCCAAAACGCCUCCACUUCCAACUCCUCUUUCAAACAAUCGACGUACCAUCUCUCUUCCCACUCUAUAUAAUUCCAAAAAACAUAGAUGGCUCUCCCCAUCAAACAACUAACAAUUGAUGCACAGGUAUGCACCGACAGCCCCUCUCCUUCACAAUUUUUGUUUAUAAACUCUAUCCUUUUACUUCACAAAUUAAUUUAUAACUACUGCGCACAAAGAAAUUUGAAGCAGUAGAAAAAAUUGAAUCACAACAUCCGUUUAUCUGCUUUUGGAUUUUCCAAGUUGUAAGUUAUUCCUUUUUCUAUGUUAUUGCGUUAAUACUUUCAAAAUCCACUAUCACAACUAAUGUUUUGUACCAUUAAUUUCCCUGCCAUUUUCAGUUCCAAAAUUUCUAUACUUGCAUUAGUUCUAACCUUUCGAUUGUAUUUUUAACAUGUUACUGCUGCCUUUUUUAUACAUGUUACUGCUGCCCUUUUUAUGCAUCACAUUCACCCCAACUAUGACUCACAUUCAUUAUAUUCAUUCUACAAUUGAUUGUAUUUUCAACAUGUUACUGCUGCCUCUUUUAUGCAUCACAUUCACCCCAACUAUGACUCACAUUCAAUAUGUUCAUUCUACACAAUUAAAUGUAUAACAAGAAGCAUCCUUACUUUGGCUAUUUCGAGAAAUAGCACCUUCUAUGUCUUGCUUAUUUGCAUAAAUCAAUAAUAAUGUUGCUCCUGAUAGCCUCUGAACAGAGCAUUUAACACUAAUUAAAAAACAACAUCAAUUGUAUUUUCUGCACUAAUCAACUUGCAGAGUACAUCUGGUAUCACUUCAUCAAUCGUACACUGACAAAUUAAUGUCCAAGGUUAACAUUACUGCACCCGUCUCCACAGAUACCUGCAUUCAUCGAGAUACAACCCACAUGGCCACUGAAAUGGAACUAGCAAAACAAAGUGUACCUAUAAAAAAGAUACCUAAAGCUUCCGUUGACUCGGUCAUGCUAGUCUUAGUUAUUAGAAGGGGUUCCUUCAUACCUUACAAGAAUUCAAGGCAUGAAGGAACUUUCAGAAUAAUAAUAUUAGUUGACAAAGAGGGGACAAAAUUUCAAACAACUCUAUUUUAUAAGCAUAUUGAAACAUGGAAGGACUUCUUGAAGCCAAAUAAGAGUUACUACAUUGCGAAAGGGCUCUUAAAUCACGUCAACCCAACUACUCUUCUGUGCAUGAAGAACUUGAAUUGGUCUUCAGAGAUAGUACAAUCAUACAAGAGACUGAGCAUCGCAUUCCAACAGACAAGUUCUCUGAUGGAUUUUCAUCAUUUCAACACGCUGAUGAAUUACCUAAUAGUGCCAUUCUGGGUAACUAUCUACACGAUUUUGCUCUUAUUUUUUUGCCACAUUACAUUAUCGCUAUGAAGAAUCGGCAUUAUGUAUCUGCAGACUUGAUGUGUGUCUUAGUUACUGUGAAUCCCCUUAUUGAAAAUGGAAAUUCCAAGAGACGGGAAAUAGUUAUUACAAAUGAGUUGUAAGUUGCAAUGCUAUAUAAUGUACCAUCUAUAUAUACAUUAUGUUAUGUAUUGAAUAUUCACUUCCAACAAUCAAUCCAGCAUGGAACAUAUAACAAUGAAUCUAUGGGGAGAUUUUGCUGAAAA